rnacentral:rRNA from 1 species
UACGGAGGGAGCUAGCGUUGUUCGGAAUUACUGGGCGUAAAGCGCACGUAGGCGGCUUUGUAAGUUGAGGUGAAAGCCCGGAGCUCAACUCCGGAACUGCCUUUAAGACUGCAUCGCUUGAAUCCAGGAGAGGUGAGUGGAAUUCCGAGUGUAGAGGUGAAAUUCGUAGAUAUUCGGAAGAACACCAGUGGCGAAGGCGGCUUCCUGGACCGACACUGACGCUGAGGCGCGAAAGCUAGGGGAGCAAACGGG